CGAGCGGUAACACGAGAAGCUUGGUUCUCGCUGACGAGAGUGGGACGCGUGAGUAAAGUAUGGGGGUCUGCCCGAUAGAGGGGGAUAACCCCUGUCAACGGAGGCUAAUACCGCAUAUUCUCUUAGGAGCAAAGAGGGGGAACUUCGGUCCUUGCUCUAUCGGAUGAACCCAUAUGGGAUUAGCUAGUAGGUGGGGUAUUGGCUCACCUAGGCGACGAUCCCUAGCUGGUCUGAGAGGAUGAUCAGCCACACUGGGACUGAAACACGGCCCAAACUCCUACCGGAGGCAGCAGUGGGGAAUAUUGCACAAUGGGCGCAAGCCUGAUGCAGCCAUGCCGCGUGUAUUAAGAAAGCCCUAGGGUUGUAAAGUACUUUCAGUCGGGAGGAAGGCGUUGAUGCUAAUAUCAUCAUCGAUUGACGUUACCGACAGAAGAAGCACCGGCUAACUCCGUGCCAGCAGCCGCGCGUAAUACGGAGGGUGCAAGCGUUAAUCGGAAUUACUGGGCGUAAAGCGCACGCAGGCGCGUUGAUUAAGUUAGAUGUGUGAUCCCCGGGCUUAACCUGGGAAUGGCAUCUUUUACUGGUCAGCUAGAGUCUUGUAGAGGGGGGUAGAAUUUCCAUGUGUAGCGGUGAAAUGCGUAGAGAUUGUGGAGGAAUACCGGUGGGCGAAUGCGGGCCCCCUGGGACAAUAGACUGACGCUCUCGGUGCGAAAAGCGUGGGGGAGCGAAACACGGAUUAGAUACCCUGGGUAGAUCCACGCUCGUAAACCGAUAGUCGAUUUUGUAUUGUUUGUUGCCCUUGUAGACUUGACUUUCCGAGCUAACGCGUGAAAUUCGUACCGCCUGGGUGUUACGUCGCAAGAUUUAAUACUCAAUGAUUGACGGGGGACCCGCCACAGCGUGGAUGCAUGUGAUUUAUUCGAUGCACCCGAAUACUACCUACCUGGACAUGCCUGAAUUCAGCAGAUUCUUCAGUGCCCUCAGAAUCUGGCAACAGGGCCGCAAUCGCUGC
rnacentral:rRNA from 1 species